rnacentral:tRNA from 1 species
AUUUAAAUAGCUUAUGAAGAGCAUAAUAUUGAAGAUAUUAAGGAAAUAUAAUUUAUUUUUAAAUA